GAGGAGGGAUCACCCAUGAGGACGUGCACACAAAACGGAACAUGGAGCGGGAAUAUGCCAAUAUGCACAGCGGUGACCUGUCCGGCUCCCCCUGCCAUCAGUAAUGGGGUACUGCAGGGCAGUGA